ACCUCGGAUCAGGUAGGAAUACCCGCUGAACUUAAGCAUAUCAAUAAGCGGAGGAAAAGAAACCAACAGGGAUUGCCCUAGUAACGGCGAGUGAAGCGGCAACAGCUCAAAUUUGAAAUCUGGCUUCGGCCCGAGUUGUAAUUUGCAGAGGAUGUUUCUGGCGCGGUGCCUUCCGAGUUCCCUGGAACGGGACGCCACAGAGGGUGAGAGCCCCGUAUGGUUGGACACCAAGCCUGUGUGAAACUCCUUCAACGAGUCGAGUAGUUUGGGAAUGCUGCUCUAAAUGGGAGGUAAAUCUCUUCUAAAGCUAAAUACCGGCCAGAGACCGAUAGCGCACAAGUAGAGUGAUCGAAAGAUGAAAAGCACCUUGAAAAGGGGGUUAAAUAGUACGUGAAAUUGUUGAAAGGGAAGCACUUAUGACCAGACUUGGGCCGGGCGGCUCAUCAGGGGUUCUCCCCUGUGCAUUCCGCCCGGCACAGGCCAGCAUCGGUUUUCGCGGGGGGAUAAGACCGUCAGGAACGUAGCACCCUCCGGGGUGUGUUAUAGCCUGGCGGACGAUACUCCCGCGG
rnacentral:rRNA from 1 species